rnacentral:misc_RNA from 1 species
GGAGGAGGAGGAGGAGGAGGAAGAAGAGGACGUGGAAGCGGCGGUGGUGACGGAGGGAAUGGUGGAGGAGAAGAGAGUGAGAGUGAAAGCUAAGGUAAAUAAAGUGACGAAGAAGAGCAACCAGAGGCGAUGAGAGGAAGGUGAUUUGUGAAUGGAAGGGUGGAGGAGGAUGAGCUUAGUGUUGGAGUUGGUCUUCAUUUUUCUGAGAGAGAGAGAGAGAGA